rnacentral:tRNA from 1 species
GUCCCGUUCGAUUAACUGGAUAAAUCCGUCGCCUCCUAAGCGACUGCUGGGGGUUCAAGUCCCUCACGGGACACCA